UACGUAGGUGGCAAGCGUUGUCCGGAAUUAUUGGGCGUAAAGCGCGCGCAGGCGGUUCCUUAAGUCUGAUGUGAAAGCCCACGGCUCAACCGUGGAGGGUCAUUGGAAACUGGGGAACUUGAGUGCAGAAGAGAAGAGCGGAAUUCCACGUGUAGCGGUGAAAUGCGUAGAGAUGUGGAGGAACACCAGUGGCGAAGGCGGCUCUUUGGUCUGUAACUGACGCUGAGGCGCGAAAGCGUGGGGAGCGAACAGG
rnacentral:rRNA from 1 species